GUUGAACGCUGGCGGCAGGCCUAACACAUGCAAGUCGAGCGGGGGUAGCAAUACCCUAGCGGCGAACGGGUGAGGAAUGCUUGGGAAUCUGCCUGGUAGUGGGGGAUAACGUUCCGAAAGGAACGCUAAUACCGCAUACGUCCUACGGGAGAAAGGGGGGGAUCUUCGGACCUCUCGCUAUCAGAUGAGCCCAAGCGGGAUUAGCUAGUUGGUGGGGUAAAGGCUCACCAAGGCGACGAUCCCUAGCUGGUCUGAGAGGAUGAUCAGCCACACUGGAACUGAGACACGGUCCAGACUCCUACGGGAGGCAGCAGUGGGGAAUAUUGGACAAUGGGCGAAAGCCUGAUCCAGCCAUGCCGCGUGUGUGAAGAAGGCCUUCGGGUUGUAAAGCACUUUAAGCGAGGAGGAAGGUUCGUCACCUAAUACGUGACGGAAUUGACGUUGCUCGCAGAAUAAGCACCGGCUAACUCUGUGCCAGCCGCCGCAGUAAAAC
rnacentral:rRNA from 1 species